UACGUAGGGGGCAAGCGUUGUCCGGAAUCAUUGGGCGUAAAGAGCGUGUAGGCGGCCAGAUAAGUCCGCUGUGAAAUCUCGAGGCUCAACUUCGAGCUGUCGGUGGAAACUGUCUGGCUAGAGUCCGGAAGAGGAGAAUGGAAUUCCUGGUGUAGCGGUGAAAUGCGCAGAUAUCAGGAAGACCACCCGUGGCGAAGGCGGUUCUCUGGGACGGUACUGACGCUGAGACGCGAAAGCGUGGGGAGCGAACAGG
rnacentral:rRNA from 1 species